CCACCUGCUGGGUUACAAAAAAGAGAAAGAAAUAUAUUAAAAAAUCUCUUAAGUUGUAGUUUAAGCCAAAAAGGGGCCGUAACAGUUCUGUAACUCGGUAGGUGUAAACCACAUGGUUGCCGAUAAAUAAAAAGAUAAAUAAAAAUAAACAAAGACAUUAACAGGAGAAUUUGUCACACACAUUACUAUGAUAACUUAACCUCAGUUUAAAGACCUUAAACAUAAAUAUUGCUACGAUCUAGUAUAUUUUACCCCUUGAAUUAUCAUAUAAGCAAAGUUAUAAUUAUUUUCCCUGCAGGAAUGCGGACAGAUCUGGAGUCACGGAAUUAUCCACGUGGGACCCACCUGAGGUUUGACCUGGUCGUAGCUGGCCCAGCCUCCAGCAUUGUGUUUCUGCACCAAAUUCGGCGGCCCACAGUUAUAAAACGAUGGAAAAAGCUCCUGUGGGAACUGGUAAUCCAUGUUUGUUUAAUGUUAAAUCAUUCAAACUGCGGUCGGGUUUUCCGUUGUCCACGAUGCCUGUCUGUCUCUCUGUCGGUGUUGAAGAACAAGUUCGGGCAUGUUCAGCUAACGUUAGCUAUCCCGCCGCAGGCAGCGAGCGCGUGUUUCUAUUUAUUUUCGUCUGAACAUCGUGACACCCGCUCAGAGGUGCUAAACACGAUCAUAUAUAAACACACGGGAGUCCAAAACAGACCACGUAGACAUCAAAAUGACCCCAAAUCCUCAGUUAGUCCACCAACACGUGUAGACCCCCUACGACAAAACUACCGGAAGUCAAGCUUUACAGCUGGCGCCAACAACAACAACAAAUACAAUGACUUCCGGUUAGCUUAAAAAGACAAAAACAAAAAUUCCAAACUUAAAUGAAAAAUGUCAUGAGACUUACACAAACGAACAACGCCCCCUCCACCCACCCCCAAAAUAAAACAAACAAACAAAAAAAACAACAACAUGAAAAACAGGCGUUUAAUUUUGUAGGACUAUUUAAAGGAAAUCCCAAGUGAGAAAACACCACCACCAACACUAAAAUAAAUAAAGUUGAUGGUCGUUUUAUGGAAAAAAUUACAAAACCCCGAGGAUACCGGAAGUGUUCGGUUUCAUUUCAAAAGCGAGCAAAAUUUCAAAGUAAAGCUUAUUUUAACCGAUCGCAU
ensembl:lncRNA